GACGUAGGGCGCGAGCGUUGUCCGGAUUUAUUGGGCGUAAAGAGCUCGUAGGCGGCUUGUCGCGUCGUCCGUGAAAACCCAGGGCUCAACCCUGGGCCUGCAUUCGAUACGGGCAGACUAGAGUUCGGUAGGGGAGACUGGAAUUCCUGGUGUAGCGGUGAAAUGCGCAGAUAUCAGGAGGAACACCGGUGGCGAAGGCGGGUCUCUGGGCCGAAACUGGACGCUGAGGAGCGAAAGCGUGGGGAGCAAACAGG
rnacentral:rRNA from 1 species